rnacentral:rRNA from 1 species
GGGGAAUAUUGCACAAUGGGCGCAAGCCUGAUGCAGCGACGCCGCGUGGGGGAUGACGGCCUUCGGGUUGUAAACCCCUUUCGCCCGGGACGAAGCGUAGUGACGGUACCGGGCGAAGAAGCACCGGCCAACUACGUGCCAGCAGCCGCGGUAAUACGUAGGGUGCAAGCGUUGUCCGGAAUUAUUGGGCGUAAAGAGCUCGUAGGCGGUGUGUCACGUCUGCCGUGAAAACCUGCGGCUUAACCGUGGGCGUGCGGUGGAUACGGGCAUCACUUGAGUUCGGUAGGGGAGACUGGAAUUCCUGGUGUAGCGGUGGAAUGCGCAGAUAUCAGGAGGAACACCGGUGGCGAAGGCGGGUCUCUGGGCCGAUACUGACGCUGAGGAGCGAAAGCGUGGGGAGCGAAC